rnacentral:rRNA from 1 species
UGAGGAAUAUUCCACAAUGGGCGAAAGCCUGAUGGAGCGACGCCGCGUGAGGGAAGAAGCCUUUCGGGGUGUAAACCUCUUUUUUAUGGGAUGACACGGGCGCAUAGCGAUAUGCGUUCUAGGACAGUACCAUAAGAAUAAGCCUCGGCUAACUACGUGCCAGCAGCCGCGGUAAUACGUAGGAGGCGAGCGUUGUCCGGAUUUAUUGGGCGUAAAGCGCGCGCAGGCGGCACACCAAGUACGAAGUGAAAUCUCCCUGCUCAACGGGGAGGGUGCUUAGUAAACUGGUGAGCUAGAGGACGGUAGAGGGGGGUAGAACUGCUGGUGUAGCGGUGAAAUGCGUAGAGAUCAGCAAGAAUACCCGUGGCGAAGGCGGCCCCCUGGGCCGAACCUGACGCUGAGGCGCGAAGGCUGGGGGAGCGAACGGGAUUAGAUACCCGCGUAGUCC